CCUACGGGUGGCAGCAGUGGGGAAUAUUGGGCAAUGGGCGCAAGCCUGACGCAGCAACGCCGCGUGAAGGAAGAAGGCUUUCGGGUUGUAAACUUCUUUUCUCAGGGACGAAGCAAGUGACGGUACCUGAGGAAUAAGCCACGCAUCACUCCGUGCGAGCAGGCGCGGUAAUACGUAGGUGGCAAGCGAUAUCCGGAUUUACUGGGUGUAAAGGGCGUGUAGGCGGGACUGCAAGUCAGAUGUGAAAACCACGGGCUCAACCUGUGGCCUGCAUUUGAAACUGUAGUUCUUGAGUACUGGAGAGGCAGAUGGAAUUCCUAGUGUAGCGGUGAAAUGCGUAGAUAUUAGGAGGAACACCAGUGGCGAAGGCGGUCUGCUGGACAGCAACUGACGUUGAGGCGCGAAAGCGUGGGGAGCAAACAGGAUUAGAUACCCCAGUAGUC
rnacentral:rRNA from 1 species